UACGAAGGGGGCUAGCGUUGCUCGGAAUCACUGGGCGUAAAGGGUGCGUAGGCGGGUCUUUAAGUCAGGGGUGAAAUCCUGGAGCUCAACUCCAGAACUGCCUUUGAUACUGAAGAUCGUGAGUUUGGGAGAGGUGAGUGGAACUGCGAGUGUAGAGGUGAAAUUCGUAGAUAUUCGCAAGAACACCAGUGGCGAAGGCGGCUCACUGGCCCGAUACUGACGCUGAGGCACGAAAGCGUGGGGAGCAAACAGG
rnacentral:rRNA from 1 species